AGUAAUGUAAAAUUCACGACCGCGAUACCUGCAAUGACCGCAAUAGCAUCCGUUAUGUCCGCAACCGCGAUAAACGCAAUGCGACCGAAAACGCGACCGCGACCGCAAUUUAAAUCCCUGGUUUCAACACCUCACCUCCUUUUGCAAUUUGUAUAUCUCACUGCCCCAACCUCCACUCCAUGCCGCCAAACAUGUUCCCUCCCUCUCUUUCUCGUUUGUACAUUAAGAGAUGUCCAUUGCUGAAGGAACGUCGUGAAAAGGAGAAAGGUAAAGACUGGCCCAAUAUUUCCCACCUCCCUUUAUUUGAAUUGACGGUCAACUCAUUAUAUAGAAGGGGCAGUGACUGAGAAAACAAAUGUCCUGCCGCAGGUAUUCCAUUCAUUUUCAUUGACCCUCAUCCUUUCUUUUUCUUCACUAAUUUAUUUCUUGAUUCCUUUACUUUCAUUACAAAAGUACUUUUUCCUUUUUUUCUACAGACAGAAACUUAAGAAAUGAAUAAGUAGAUGGAACUUGGGAUCAUAAAUGUGGGUGAUUUGUGGGUUAAUUUCCAUUUCCAUCUUUCUGUAAAUUGGAGUUCAUGGAUUCUGAUUUGACUGCAUUUUGAGGGACUAUUUCGCGAUAUGCACAAGGUAAAAAGGUCGAGAUUUUGC
rnacentral:lncRNA from 1 species